rnacentral:lncRNA from 1 species
ACCCUAAUGAAACUUUUAUAUAAAGAAAGCUCUCAAAGGGUCAUAGGCUUAAUGUCCCUUCAUCCUUUUUACAGGAAGAAAAAUGACUAAAACUUGAAGUCAGACUCUGGCAUGCUUGAAUACCAUAUGCCUGCACUAUUGAGAGACUGGAGCAGAGUAUCUGGAGAAAGAUGAGAGAGUGUGGGUGGCAAUAGAAAAAACAACCACCACUAUAAUUUCUGGAAAUUAUUUCAGCUGAAUGAAUGCAGUGAAGACAUCUCAUGGGAAUAGGAGAGGUCUUGCAGACAAUACCCGACUGACUCUUCAGGCAAAAAAAGCAAGACACACCAAGAAAAUAGAAAUAUGACCCUAAAAAUCCCACCUGGGAUGCCUUAGAAUGGAUGUGAAAGUCCAGGCAAAUGAAGACUGCUCAAGCACUAGUUGCUUUAUAAACCUAAGAGGGUGAGAGGGAAAAGAUGGGCAGAAAAUAUCAAAGGC